GGCGUAUAUAACUCAGUUGGGCAGAGUGUUAGGGUGUGGUCCUAAAAGUCAUAGGUUCGAGUCCUGUUAUUCGCCA
rnacentral:tRNA from 1 species